UACGUAGGGGCUAGCGUUGUCCGGAAUCAUUGGGCGUAAAGCGCGCGUAGGCGGCCCGGUAAGUCCGCUGUGAAAGUCAAAGGCUCAACCUUUGAAUGUCAGCGGAUACUGCCGGGCUAGAGUCCGGAAGAGGCGAGUGGAAUCCUGGUGUAGCGGUGGAAUGACGCAGAUAUCAGGAGGAACACCAACGGCGAAGGCAGCUCGCUGGGACGGUACUGACGCUGAGGCGCGAAAGCGUGGGGAGCGAACAGG
rnacentral:rRNA from 1 species